CUAUUACAGCCCAGCGUCUACAUGUCUUCCAAAUUAGAUAAAGAUGUGCGUUUGUUUAAUAUUUUUAAAAGCCUCUCCCCAGCAUUAUUUUGGAUAUUGUUUGCAAACUUGAUCAGCCAUGUAAGACAUUAAUUGCUGGAGACCAAUUUCCGAAUAGAAAGUCGGGUUGGCGCCUGUCUAAAGGUUUUCAGUUAUGAAUACGAAUAGGGCUUAAAGGUGAAGUAAGGACGGUUAGCUGAUAGUAGAGUGUAGAGUAUGAACAUAUCCUUAGAAACCUAAGUAAUUCGAGAGAUAAAGGAAGAACCUAGUCAGCCAGUGCGGAGCCCGGUUUCUCUGCCGCCAUUGGGCGCUUUCUCAGAACAAUGAAUAUCCAGUGCAGUGCAGAUACAACAUAACAAGUUUUAAAUCGUAUUUAGAAGCUUCCCAAAAGAUAUUGGGGAACUUAGGAUCUAAUACUCUAAAGAUGUGGGAGUUCCUGACUUUAUCUAAAACGCAUUGGAUAUUAGAAUUACGAAAUGGCUCAUUGGUUCAAACCACGAGUGGAGCCGAGUGUUUAGACAGCUAUUCGCACAUUUGUGAAGCUUGCUCAAGCAAAAAUGCGCCCGACCUCCUGGGGGUUCAAACACAAAGACUCAAAUCGACCUUCUGAUGACCUCCCGGGUUUGCAUGCGGCGAUGGAAUCCCAAGCUCAGACAUGUGGUUCGAAGAGAGACGCAUUUCUAAAAGGAGAACGCCAGACAGCAUGCAUCCUCGCAUUAGUCGCGUCAUAUGCGCAAAGAUUAGUUGUCUAUCUCGUUACACUGAAAAAAUAUAAGCCGAAACGAUGCGAGAACAGCUCUAGUGCGCUUUUUGGCACAAGGGACAAAACUGAUCUGUUCUGCAAAAUAUCUGUUCCGCAGCCCGUUUGUUUGCUGGCCAGGAAGAUGUUAGACCCCUCGGUUGCUGGGAAAAAAUCGGUCCCAAAUGGUUCUGCUGGCAAAUUUGUGGAGUCAAACUAGUUGUGCUGCGAAUUUUUUUUGGGUGUGCUGGAGCGGAUGCUUGGAAAAAAAUUGUCGCGAUUGGUUUUACGGGCAAUAUUCAUGGGCUAAAAUGCCUAACCAAUGCUGGCUGGGAAAAAAAGGAUUUGUCCCUCCUGGGAAAAAGGAACAGAUAACGUUUUCCAAGCAACUUCUAAAAUGGAUAGUUUCGGCAUCAGAACAUAUUCGAACGAUAAAAUCAUUUUUGGAGUUACGUCUUUGCUUUUUCAAAGCUUAGCAAACGAAACGGUUAGUUCAACAAGUGAAAAUAGCCAUAAAGCAUAUUAUUAUAGUCAAAUCUAUUGCACCUAAGCCGCUUUUGCACUGCCCGGGUCUUGUCAGUUUUUAGAUAUACUCUAAAAAAGAAAUACUUUUUUACACGAGUCUUUCAGAGUUAAUCAUUGCGAGAAUGAGGAAAGUGCGAGAAACUUGAUGUAAAAACUUGAAAUGGCCGAAAUUUUCCCUCUAGCAGAGGUAUAUUUUCUUUGUAUUUCGGGUUUGCCCAAGGAAGCCGAGAUUGCGGCCAAUACCGAAAAAAGGCAUCCUUUGCCUUAAUUUGACAAGACAAAAUAAAUAAACGAUAUUUCUAGAUUUUCCAAAUCAAUGUUAGGAUCCGCAGCAUUGUCGGAAUACAAACGGCAGACUGUCAGGACGACUUCCUCGCCAUUAGAAUCAUGCGCGCAUGCGCGUAGCAAAGGUUGAAGACCCUCCGUGCGUCUUUGCACCAACCUUUCGGUGUGUGUUAGUUAAUUCAUAAUUAAUGAUUAUCUUAAAUUGCUGCUAGCAAGAUAGUCGACUCGUACGCUCUCAAUGUGAUGGGUUAACCUUGAAUCUUUACGUUGAAGCCUGGUAAAACUCCUUUCAGCCUAGGCUGGAUGGAAAAUAAUGCAACACGUGGCCGGUACUUCUCUAGGGCUUCGGAUACAUGAUGCUGUGUUUGUUUUUUGUGAUGGGAGUUGCCCGUGAUGUAUUGGUGAGGUAGAGGUAGUUUUAUGCAGGGGUCUUUUUUUUCCAUGGUUGUUUUUAUUAUUACGAUUAGUUAAGUUUUCUUGGAGAGAAAGGCAGGGCCCAUUGCGAUCGCACAUCGUCUGUCAGCAUGUAUACAACCACAGAAUAAAGCUCAGGUUUUUGUGGUGUGAUCUAGCAAUAAUGUAAUAGGUCAACGACAUCACAUCUGCAAUAACGUUUCGCUGAAUCAAGUUUCUCUUGGAUAGUCUUGCAGGAUCAUCUUAGCUCAGUAUAAACGCGACACUCUGUCUUGUUAAUGCAGCGCUGAUGCCUCGUAUCAGAAAACUCCAGAAAACUCUGAAGUGAGGCCCCUGGGGGGGGGGGGGGGGAAUAGUUAAAUUUUGCAACCACAAACCCAGUGGGCGGGUAAAAAGGAAGCUUACAAUAAACUAAUGAAACCCGCAAGCUCAAAACGUAACUGAACGAGAAAAUUUACGCAUCUCGUUGACAGAACACACAGUUGCACGAACAGGUUCCGUUGAACGCGAAAAAGCAUGCGUACCCAAAAGUGGGUCUCUUGGUAUUAAACUAUAUUAAAAAUUAUGAUUCAAAUUUUAUUCUAAAUUGUGUUUAAGAUUAAACUCAGUAAAGAAUCCUCUAGAGAA